rnacentral:lncRNA from 1 species
AUGAGCAUCAUAGAGGGCGUCUGGAAGGGGGAAAUGGCAGAUGCCAGAACAAGGAAAAGGGAGCGAGACUUUGGGCAAAGGGACAAGCUCUGCAGAGAGAAUGUCUGGGAUGCUGGCAACAAAAAGGCAAGUGAUAAUGCUUUCCACAAACAGCCACAAGCAAGCCUGUGCUGCCACCACCAUAAAACACUGGUGCCUGCCACAAGCCAGAACCAGCUCGACGCAGCGGGCCCACGCGGCCUGCCUCCUGCAUUGCUCUGCACCAAGCUGCUGCAGAGGCAUCACUGGCUCGCCGGAGACUGCCGCCAGCUCUCAAGCCAGAAUCUGAAUACCUUCCUCUCCUCAUCACCAAGGAUGGGAAGCACCUGCUGAGAUGUGAGGAAAAGGGUUAAACUGCAAUGAUCAGUCACCUGUACAAGGUUUCCAGAACAACACUGUGGGGAUGGUGACAUUUGAAUUCCCUGCCAUCCUCUCCCAGUGCCAUGUCCUUUCUCACACCCCCAGGGCCUCCUCCAUUCUCACCCUCUCCCAUGCCUGGGCUUCUCUAGGUCAGCUCCCCAGCAGGCUGCACUCUGGUCCUGCUUUACUCUCCUCCAUGAGUGAGUUAUAGCAGCUGAGAGCUAUGCAUAGUAUCAGGUUUUAGUUAACACCUACAAUAGGCCAUGCACUUUCCUAAGGGCUUUAUUUGUGAUGCCUUAUUUAAUUCUCACAACAAAUUUGUGACCUAGAUACUACUAUUAAGAUACUCACUUUGCAAAUCAGAAAAACAAGGCCUAAAUAUCACACAGCUAGAAAGAAUGGGAUCCAAAGUUGAAGCCAGUGGCCAGAGCCCAUGCUUUGGGGCACUUUGUUACCGGUUUGCAUUUUAACCAGGAGCGCUGUCUUUGAGCUAGCAGGGAUAUACUGCCCUAAAAGGCUUUUCUAACCCCUUGAAUUAUCUCAGCCCCUUGAAUUAUCUACUCUACUUUGAGUCAAGAUGAUUGGCCAGAACCCAUUUCCUUCCACAGAAACAAUUCUCUCCCCUUCGUGGUAACAAUGCCUGUGUUUAUGUAACACUUGGCACUUUUCUUGUAUAUUCUCCCACUCAGUCCUCAAACUGGCCCUGUGAUGUGGAUAGGGUAGGGAUUAGUCUAAUCUUACAGACGAGUAGAGGAGGGCUCACCAACAGGGUCACAGAGCUCAUGAGUGACACAGUGAGAGUUAGAAGCCGGGUUUCGAAAAUCCUUACCAGCACUUGUCUCCAUCACAUCCAGGUUAUGUCCUAGGAUCUCACCCAGGAACAAGCAAAGACUCCCCCCAAACCAAUCACUGCACAAAUCGCUUUCAACCAGGGACCACUUGGCAACAGCUAAUGAAGGGCUUCCGUCUCCUUCCCAUGUCCUAGCGAAUCAAUCAGACACCAGUGCAGGGAAGUCUUCCUGGUCUAUUUGCCCAGCCUCCAUGCAGGGAGGUGGAGCCGGAAAAGAAGCAAAGCCUGCUCUUCUCACAGAGAGCAAGCAAUUUACAAGAAGUCCUCAGAGGGAGGGAAGAACCACAACGCUUUCAUUAAAAAGGAGAUGUAAACAGCUGUCUAGCCUUUUGAAAACACUCCCCAUUGGGAGCAGAGACAGCAAAGAGAAAACACAGCAAAAGGAAAGAACAUGUAAAUGAACAGGAGGCAGCUGCCCCAAGACAGAGUGUUAGGAUAUCAGUUAAGAGCUCCGGAUCCCUCGGUGGCUUCCUUAUGCCUAAAAAUUAAAGUCCAGGCACUUCCCCUGGUUUCAAGACUCUCUCUGUCUUGAUCAUAAGCUGCCUUUCCAAUUUUCUUUCCCAUUGCUUUCCUGAAUGCUCUCUAGGCUCCAACCAAAAUGGACAGCUCUUCCCCGGACAUACACUAAGCCAGGGGGUCCAUACUCAGAUGCCUAAAAGGUCCAGCCAGCAAAGUGAUAAAGUAAAGCCAGCUGAGUGUAAAUGAAACAAUAUGCCAGGUGUAUUUUUAGCGACUACUGACUCUCAGAAAAAUAAUAGAGUGAUGAGGCCUGAGGCAAACUGGAAUAUUUCCACCAUGUCUGAAGACGGGAAAAGUCACCCAGCUCCAGUCGAUCAUGGCCCAGCUUCAACAACCUAACUUUACACCUAAAGGAACUAGAAAAAGAAGAAAAAAACAAGCCCAAAGUUAGCAGAAGGAAAGAAAUAACAAAGAUCAGAGUGGAAAUAAGUGAAAUAGAGACAAAGACAAUGGAAAAGAUCAAUGAGACUAAGAGCUGUUUUUUUUAAAAGAUAAACAAAAUAGACAAACUUUUAGCUAGACUAACCAGAAGAGAGAAGAUUCAAAUAAGUAAAAUUAGAAAGAGGAGACAUUACAACUGAAAAUACACAAAUACGAAGGAUUGUAAGAGACUACACGAACAAUUAUACACCAACAAAUUAGAAGAAAAUGGAUAAAUUCCUAGACACAUACAAUAUACCAAGACUGAAUCAUGAAGAAACAGAAAAAUCUGAACAGAUUAAUUACUAGUAAGAGGAUUGAAUCUGUAAUCAAAAACCUCCCAACAAACAAAAGUCCAGAACCAGAUGGCUUCACUUUUUGGUGAAUUCUACCAAACACUUAAAGAAGAAUUAAUACCAAUCCUUCUAAAACUCUUUCAAAUAAAUAGAAGAGGAGGGAAUACUUCCA